AGUCACUGACAUUAGAUACCCGCGUAGUCCCAGCCGUAAACGAUGCGCGUUAGGUGUAUCGGUGACCACGAGUCACCGAGGUGCCGAAGGGAAACCGUGAAACGCACCACCUGGGAAGUACGGUCGCAAGGCUGAAACUUAAAGGAAUUGGCGGGGGAGCACCGCAACGGGAGGAGCGUGCGGUUUAAUUGGAUUCAACGACCGAAAACUCACCAGCAGCGACUGUUACAUGAAAGUCAGGUUGAUGACCUUACUAGAUUUUCAG
rnacentral:rRNA from 1 species